GUUUGAUCCUCGGCGUCAGGAUGAACGCUGGCGGCGUGCCUAACACAUGCAAGUCGAGCGAAGCACUUAAAAUAGGAUUCUUCGGAUGUAAGCUUUAUGUGACUGAGCGGCGGACGGGUGAGUAACGCGUGGGCAACCUGCCUUACACAGGGGGAGUAACAGUUAGAAAUGACUGCUAAUACCGCAUAAGACCACAGGGCUGCAUGGCCUGGUGGCAAAAACUCCGGUGGUGUAAGAUGGGCCCGCGUCUGAUUAGGUAGUUGGCGGGGUAACGGCCCACCAAGCCGACGAUCAGUAGCCGACCUGAGAGGGUGACCGGCCACAUUGGGACUGAGACACGGCCCAGACUCCUACGGGAGGCAGCAGUGGGGAAUAUUGCACAAUGGGGGGAAACCCUGAUGCAGCGACGCCGCGUGAGUGAUGAAGUAUUUCGGUAUGUAAAGCUCUAUCAGCAGGGGAAGAAAAAUGACGGUACCUGACUAAGAAGCCCCGGCUAACUACGUG
rnacentral:rRNA from 1 species